GAUGAACGCUGGCGGCGUGCUUAACACAUGCAAGUCGAACGAUGAAGCCCAGCUUGCUGGGUGGAUUAGUGGCGAACGGGUGAGUAACACGUGAGUAACCUGCCCUUAACUCUGGGAUAAGCCUGGGAAACUGGGUCUAAUACCGGAUAGGAGCGCCUACCGCAUGGUGGGUGUUGGAAAGAUUUAUCGGUUUUGGAUGGACUCGCGGCCUAUCCGCUUGUUGGUGAGGUAAUGGCUCACCAAGGCGACGACGGGUAGCCGGCCUGAGAGGGUGACCGGCCACACUGGGACUGAGACACGGCCCAGACUCCUACGGGAGGCAGCAGUGGGGAAUAUUGCACAAUGGGCGAAAGCCUGAUGCAGCGACGCCGCGUGAGGGAUGACGGCCUUCGGGUUGUAAACCUCUUUCAGUAGGGAAGAAGCGAAAGUGACGGUACCUGCAGAAGAAGCACCGGCUAACUACGUG
rnacentral:rRNA from 1 species